rnacentral:rRNA from 1 species
GACGAACGCUGGCGGCGUGCUUAACACAUGCAAGUCGAACGGAAAGGCCCUGCUUUUGUGGGGUGCUCGAGUGGCGAACGGGUGAGUAACACGUGAGUAACCUGCCCUUGACUUUGGGAUAACUUCAGGAAACUGGGGCUAAUACCGGAUAGGAGCUCCUGCUGCAUGGUGGGGGUUGGAAAGUUUCGGCGGUUGGGGAUGGACUCGCGGCUUAUCAGCUUGUUGGUGGGGUAGUGGCUUACCAAGGCUUUGACGGGUAGCCGGCCUGAGAGGGUGACCGGCCACAUUGGUACUGAGAUACGGCCCAGACUCCUACGGGAGGCAGCAGUGGGGAAUAUUGCCCAAUGGGCGGAAGCCUGAUGCAGCAACGCCGCGUGCGGGAUGACGGCCUUCGGGUUGUAAACCGCUUUCGCCUGUGACGAAGCGUGAGUGACGGUAAUGGGUAAAGAAGCACCGGCUAACUACGUG